rnacentral:misc_RNA from 1 species
UCUCCGUAGGUGAACCUGCGGAGGGAUCAUUACUGAGUGAGGGUCUCCGGGCCCGACCUCCAACCCUUUUGUGAACCACCUCGUUGCUUCGGGGGCGACCCUGCCGUUCGCGGCGUGGGGCCCCCGGUGGACCACUCAACCCUGCAUCGUUGCGUCCGAGUCGUAAUAUAAAUCAAUCAAAACUUUCAACAACGGAUCUCUUGGUUCCAGCAUCGAUGAAGAACGCAGC